rnacentral:snRNA from 1 species
AUGCUUACUUUGGCAGCACAUACAUUAAAAUUGUAAUGAUACAGAGGAGAUUAGUAUGGCCCCUGAGCAAGAAUGACAUGCAGAUUUGGGAAGCAUUCCAGUAAAAA